GACGAAGGGGGCUAGCGUUGUUCGGAAUUACUGGGCGUAAAGCGCGUGUAGGCGGUUGUCCAAGUCGGGUGUGAAAGCCUUGAGCUCAACUCAAGAAAUGCACUCGAUACUGGGCGACUAGAGUGCCGGAGAGGAUAGUGGAAUUCCCAGUGUAGUGGUGAAAUACGUAGAGAUUGGGAAGAACACCAGUGGCGAAGGCGGCUAUCUGGACGGUUAUUGACGCUAAGACGCGAAAGCGUGGGGAGCAAACAGG
rnacentral:rRNA from 1 species